rnacentral:rRNA from 1 species
GGGAGCUUGCUCCCUGAUGUUAGCGGCGGACGGGUGAGUAACACGUGGGUAACCUGCCUGUAAGACUGGGAUAACUCCGGGAAACCGGGGCUAAUACCGGAUGGUUGUUUGAACCGCAGGUUCAGACAUAAAAGGUGGCUUCGGCUACCACUUACAGAUGGACCCGCGGCGCAUAGCUAGUUGGUGAGGUAACGGCUCACCAAGGCGACGAUGCGUAGCCGACCUGAGAGGGUGAUCGGCCACACUGGGACUGAGACACGGCCCAGACUCCUACGGGAGGCAGCAGUAGGGAAUCUUCCGCAAUGGACGAAAGUCUGACGGAGCAACGCCRCGUGAGUGAUGAAGGUUUUCGGAUCGUAAAGCUCUGUUGUUAGGGAAGAACAAGUGCCGUUCAAAUAGGGCGGCACCUUGACGGUACCUAACCAGAAAGCCACGGCUAACUACGUGCCAGCAGCCGCGGUAAUACGUAGGUGGCAAGCGUUGUCCGGAAUUAUUGGGCGUAAAGGGCUCGCAGGCGGUUUCUUAAGUCUGAUGUGAAAGCCCCCGGCUCAACCGGGGAGGGUCAUUGGAAACUGGGGAACUUGAGUGCAGAAGAGGAGAGUGGAAUUCCACGUGUAGCGGUGAAAUGCGUAGAGAUGUGGAGGAACACCAGUGGCGAAGGCGACUCUCUGGUCUGUAACUGACGCUGAGGAGCGAAAGCGUGGGGAGCGAACAGGAUUAGAUACCCUGGUAGUCCACGCCGUAAACGAUGAGUGCUAAGUGUUAGGGGGUUUCCGCCCCUUAGUGCUGCAGCUAACGCAUUAAGCACUCCGCCUGGGGAGUACGGUCGCAAGACUGAAACUCAAAGGAAUUGACGGGGGCCCGCACAAGCGGUGGAGCAUGUGGUUUAAUUCGAAGCAACGCGAAGAACCUUACCAGGUCUUGACAUCCUCUGACAAUCCUAGAGAUAGGACGUCCCCUUCGGGGGCAGAGUGACAGGUGGUGCAUGGUUGUCGUCAGCUCGUGUCGUGAGAUGUUGGGUUAAGUCCCGCAACGAGCGCAACCCUUGAUCUUAGUUGCCAGCAUUCAGUUGGGCACUCUAAGGUGACUGCCGGUGACAAACCGGAGAAAGGUGGGGAUGACGUCAAAUCAUCAUGCCCCUUA